rnacentral:ncRNA from 10 species
CACGUUCAACUCAUUAGAGUCGGAAGUAAGCGUAAGCUGAAGGAACGCACC